rnacentral:sRNA from 1 species
CUGAAGAAAAGCCUUGGAGGAAGUAGACCAAAUUUUAAACAGGAGCUGUUUUUGAGUGGUGGGACUAAUGGUAAUUUUUUAAACACUUAUGUGUCUUAUCUAUAUUUUUUCUUUAAUGGGAAAAUGAGUUUGCUUAUUUUAUUGGAAAUAUUUUGUUUUUUAGUUUUGAUAAAAGUAUGGUUGAUAAGCAACUAACAUAGUACCAAGUAAUUUUAAUGUAAUUAACAAGCUUUUUAAUUAACAAGAUUUUUGUUUUUAUUUUAUUUUUAGGCCAGAAAUGUACACACAGGAGAGUUGGCUGCAGUAAAAAUCAUUAAAUUGGAGCCUGGAGAUGAUUUUUCUUUGAUUCAACAAGAAAUAUUUAUGGUUAAAGAAUGUAAACAUUGUAACAUCGUUGCCUACUUUGGGAGUUAUCUUAGGUAAGAGAAAAAAAAGCAUCAUCUCUCUCUGUAUUUUAUAUAUUCUUUGCUACUGCACUCUCUCCCUUCUAUGUAAGUGCUACUAUAUAUGUAUGUUUUUAAACACUGCAAAGUUCCAAAUUUUUUAGGGUCUUCCUAUUUCUACGGUUUUCCCCUAUUAUAUAUUAAUAAUGGU